rnacentral:rRNA from 1 species
UGCCAGCCGCCGCGGUAAUACGGAGGGUGCAAGCAUUAAUCGGAUUUAUUGGGCGUAAAGGGCAUGUAGGCGGAGAGGUUAGUCAGAUGUGAAAUCCCGGAGCUCAACUCCGGAACUGCAUUUGAAACUGCCUCCCUAGAGGAUAGGCGGAGAAGAUGGAAUUCCGCAAGUAGCGGUGAAAUGCGUAGAUAUGCGGAAGAAUACCUGUGGCGAAAGCGAUCUUCUAGCUUAUUCCUGACGCUGAGAUGCGAAAGCGUGGGGAGCAAACAGGAUUAGAUA